ACCAGACUCCUACGGGAGGCAGCAGUGGGGGAUAUUGCACAAUGGGGGAAACCCUGAUGCAGCGACGCCGCGUGGGUGAAGAAGUAUUUCGGUAUGUAAAGCCCUAUCAGCAGGGAAGAAAGAAGACGGUACCUGACUAAGAAGCCCCGGCUAACUACGUGCCAGCAGCCGCGGUAAUACGUAGGGGGCGAGCGUUAUCCGGAUUCACUGGGUGUAAAGGGAGCGUAGACGGCCGUGCAAGCCAGGAGUGAAAGCCCGGGGCCCAACCCCGGGACUGCUCUUGGAACUGUGCGGCUGGAGUGCGGGAGGGGCAGGCGGAAUUCCUGGUGUAGCGGUGAAAUGCGUAGAUAUCAGGAGGAACACCGGCGGCGAAGGCGGCCUGCUGGACCGCGACUGACGUUGAGGCUCGAAAGCGUGGGGAGCGAACAGGAUUAGAUACCCCGGUA
rnacentral:rRNA from 1 species